CGCCCUUGCCAUGCAAGUCGAGCGAGAAAGUUUCUUCGGAAGCGAGUAAAGCGGCGGACGGGUGAGUAACGCGUAGGAAUCUACCAUUCAGUGGGGGAUAGCUCGGGGAAACCCGAAUUAAUACCGCAUAUACCCUAAGGGGGAAAGAGGGCCUAUCCUUGGAAGCUCUUGCUGUUUGAUGAGCCUGCGUGAGAUUAGUUUGUUGGUGAGGUAAUGGCUCACCAAGACUACGAUCUCUAGCUGGUCUGAGAGGACGAUCAGCCACUCUGGGACUGAGACACGGCCCAGACUCCUACGGGAGGCAGCAGUGGGGAAUAUUGGACAAUGGGGGCAACCCUGAUCCAGGCAUGCCGCGUGUGUGAAGAAGGCCUUCGGGUUGUAAAGCACUUUAGGUAAGGAAGAAAAGUUAUUGGUUAAUACCCAAUGACCAUGACAUUACUUACAGAAUAAGGACCGGCUAACUCCGUGCCAGCAGCCGCGGUAAUACGGAGGGUCCAAGCGUUAAUCGGAAUUACUGGGCGUAAAGCGCGCGUAGGCGGUUUGACAAGUUGGGUGUGAAAUCCCCGGGCUUAACCUGGGAACUGCAUUCAAAACUUUUAAACUGGAGUACGGGAGAGGAGAGUAGAAUUCAUGGUGUAGCGGUGAAAUGCGUAGAUAUCAUGAGGAAUACCAAUGGCGAAGGCAACUCUCUGGACCGUAACUGACGCUGAGGUGCGAAAGCGUGGGUAGCAAACAGGAUUAGAUACCCUGGUAGUCCACGCCGUAAACGAUGACAACUAGCCGUUGGACUUUCGAGUUCAGUGGCACAGCUAACG
rnacentral:rRNA from 1 species